rnacentral:rRNA from 1 species
CCUACGGGCGGCUGCAGUGGGGAAUAUUGGACAAUGGGCGAAAGCCUGAUCCAGCCAUGCCGCGUGUGUGAAGAAGGCCUUCGGGUUGUAAAGCACUUUCAGUGGGGAAGAAAGCCUUGGGGCUAAUACCCUCGAGGAAGGACAUCACCCACAGAAGAAGCACCGGCUAACUCCGUGCCAGCAGCCGCGGUAAUACGGAGGGUGCGAGCGUUAAUCGGAAUUACUGGGCGUAAAGCGCGCGUAGGCGGUCUGAUAAGCCGGUUGUGAAAGCCCCGGGCUCAACCUGGGAACGGCAUCCGGAACUGUCAGGCUAGAGUGCAGGAGAGGAAGGUAGAAUUCCCGGUGUAGCGGUGAAAUGCGUAGAGAUCGGGAGGAAUACCAGUGGCGAAGGCGGCCUUCUGGACCGACACUGACGCUGAGGUGCGAAAGCGUGGGUAGCAAACAGGAUUAGAUACCCUGUAGUC